GUCAUGUAAAUGCUGGGGGUUCUGCUCAAAUCAAUCAUUUCAUGGGCAUUAAAGAAGCCCCCUGGGACCACCUCUUCAUUUGAGGUUCACGUGGAGAACAAAGAUACUCUUGCCUUUGUCAACAAGGGGAAGGCAAGAAGACGAACCAGAAGAUAAAGCAGGAGAUGAACCAGAAGAUAGGGCAGGAGAUAAACCAGAAGAUAAAGCAGGAGAUAAACCAGAAGAUAAAGCAGGAGAUGAACCAGAAGAUAGGGCAGGAGAUAAACCAGAAGAUAAAGCAGGAGAAGAACCAGAAGAUAGGGCAGGAGAUAAACCAGAAGAUAAGGCAGGAGAAGAACCAGAAGAUAAGGCAGGAGAUGAACCAGAAGAUAAGGUAGGAGAAGAACCAGAAGAUAAGGCAGGAGAUGAACCAGAAGAUAAAGCAGGAGAUAAACCAGAAGAUAGGGCAGGAGAUAAACCAGAAGAUAAGGCAGGAGAUGAACCAGAAGAUAAGGCAGGAGAUGAACCAGAAGAUAAGCUGGGUCAGCACUCAGGAGAGGAACCUCAGAUGAACCUCUUGGUGCUCCCGAAGGCACCGGCGGAGCAGGAGGAAGCGAUCUCUGAGGCACAGCUUGAAUCCUCUGCAGUCUUUGGGAGACACUUCCCACUGAGCUCCCAGCCUCCUGCCAGCCCUUCAGGACCUCGUGCCACUUCUUUGCUGAGAGGAGCUCCUUCCAAGCCCAGCCUCCAUCCCAAGGGUUCCCAGACUCCCAGGAAACUGUUCCCCAGCCCCAGAAGCAAAGCAGAACUUCUCACUUCUCAAACAUUUUUCCCCAUGGCAGCUGGCAAAUCCCUUCCCUGGCUUCUCAUCCAACUUGGACAAAAUUACUGCAGAGAAUCCCUCCUGCUCCCCUCCCCCCCUUCCGUGCAAAGCAAUCCCAAGGGAGGGAUGGUUCCAUGGGGACCCCCUGCUGGAUUGCAUCUGAUUUCCCUCCUAAGUAUGGAAUGGGGAAGCGUCUCGAGGGCUAUGGCUGUGACCUCCAUACAGCUCUUUUGUCAAGUGCCAUUUCAUUAAAAAAUCAGCCUUUUAACUGUGGACACAUUUCAACCUCACCAAAUCUGCUAAUUAUUGACAGUUGGUGAAGAGGAGAUUUCACUUGUUCCUCCUGUUAAACUGCAUCUAAUUAGUAAUUACUGGUUCACUGUCAUCUUUACUGCAAUAAUCCCACUGCACAUUGGCUCAUUAACCUUUUGCUUUUCUAAAGCAGCCUGCCAACAAGAUGAAGGCUAAAACAGAUUGGAAAACAAUAGCUCAGCCUUGGAUUUUAGGCUGUUUAUUCCCCUUGUCCUGGAGAUCCAAAAGGAAGAUUGUUUUUAAGGAAAGGCUGAAAUCAGCCUCAUUCUGGAAGAUGCCUCGCUUCGCAUUGAGCAUCACCCUAAAAAUACCCUUUAAGCUUCCCCCAGGUGAGGGCGGGAGUGCUCAGGUGGCUGAAGGCUUCUCGGCCAUUCUGCAGCUCCAUUUCUCCAUUUCUCACCUGGCCCUACCCACCUUUAUCCCCACGGUCCCACUGGUGACCCGAGCUCCUGGUGGAUCUGCUGGAGGAACGCUCUGGAGGAGCGGGGCCCACGGGGCCGAGAAGCAGCGGAGCGACCCCGUGGUUCUUUCUUCUGCUGCUACACUGAAUUUCAUUUGCACAAGUCCCAUUUUCGGUUUGGAGCUGUCACAGCUGUUUCCAUUGGCAGUGCAUAGCUGAGUAGGAGUUGUCAGUGGGGAUGCUGCGGGAUUGGGAGAGGGAAGAGAUUCCCCGGGGGGCAUGGGAGGCAGUUGGAGGUUGUGGGCUAAAUGCAUUAACUGCAUGUUUCUCCUAAACUUAACAGCAGUGAAUUACUCAAUGCAUACUGAUGGGUUUAGGUACCACAGUUAACACUAUCCUGGGAUGACAAGAAUGUUUCUCAGCAGCUCCAGCGUGAGUAUUCCCAAGGAUCCAUGGUUUCGUGGCUGAUACGAGGGGUUUCUUUUUAUAACCUUCUCUUUAAAGCCAUAAUAGCCAGAAACAAGCUGGGAUUCUGGAGCACCGCUGCAGAAAUCCAAGUGGGAUUUCAUCCCUACAAAACCCAGGGCUUGGCUAGGCUGGAUAUGGACCCAAAGAAGGCUCAGGGUGCGUUAACCAUCCCAGCACGUGGAGGUUGCUCACCUCCAGAAUUCCCUUCCCCUGGCUGUUUGCAGCCAGAGCUGAGCUCUGAUUUCACUGGAGUUGUUGUAACACGGGAGUAACUCUGGAGCAGCUACAGCUGAUGGGACAAGGUGGCUGCAUUAAUUCAUUAAACCUACUGCAAGGCUUCAGUUCUGCUGGAAAACCAAUUGUGAGUUUGAGCCUCAUUAGCAGAGAGGAUCAAAGGGGGCCACUCAAACCCCUGGCCCAAAACAGCCACUCCAUGACACAUCAGCCUCUGUGUUUGCUCCCUGGCUCACAAAAGGUUGUGAGGGUGUGACUAAGGGCAGAACUUGGCUCACUCACAAUUCCUGCAGGGGUUGCUGCUCACACCACAGCCAUGCUUUUGGAACAGAACACGUCUCUUACUCCUUGUUGCUUGGUACAACAGCGUGGUCCUGUCCUGCUGUGCCCCUGACCGAGGCCAUGGCAAAAGCAAAGACAUUCCCACAGAGAUCAGUGCUUAACCACCUCUAAAUUCCUCAUCUGACAGGACAGAAUCAUGGAAUCGUUCAGGUUGGAAAAGACUCCAAGGUCAUCGAGCCCAACCGCUGAAGUUCUGGGUCUGGUGAUGAGUGCCCAAAAAUUCACAGGUUUUGAGGAACACUUCCUGCAAAGUCACUUGGAUUUCCCAUCCAGAAAUGGAUCCAGAGGGAUUGGUCCAGGUUCUGCAUUCAGAGAGCUUUCUGCCAAGCAGAAACUUCCUGGUCAAACUUCCAUCCUCCCCAGCUGGGGAGUGCAGGACAUCCCUGGAUGGACACUGCUGCCCACCUGGCCCCCCUCUCCUCACCGGUGUCAGAGAACCACGGAAUGGCUUGGCUUGGAAAGAACCUCAGAGGUCACCACCAACUUCCCCCUGCCCCAGCCCCAGUUCCACCCACCCCACCCGGGGUGAGGCAGACGAGGUGAGCCCGCCCC